rnacentral:rRNA from 1 species
CCUACGGGAGGCAGCAGUGGGGGAUAUUGCACAAUGGGGGGAACCCUGAUGCAGCGACGCAGCGUGGGUGAAGAAGGGCCUCGGCGCGUAAAGCUCUGUCAGCAGGGAAGAAAAUGACGGUACAUGAAGAAGAAGCCCCGGCUAACUACGUGCCAGCAGCCGCGGUAAUACGUAGGGGACAAGCUUGAUCCGGAUUAACUGGGUGUAAAGGGGGCGCAGACGGCGAUGCAAGCCAGGAGUGAAAGCCCGGGGCCCAACCCCGGGACUGCUCUUGAAACUGCGUGGCUGGAGUGCAGGAGGGGCAGGCGGAAUUCCUGGUGUAGCGGUGGAAUGCGUAGAUAUCAGGAGGAACCCCGAUGGCGAAGGCAGCCUGCUGGACUGCAACUGACGUUGAGGCCCGAAAGCGUGGGGAGCAAACAGGAUUAGAUACCCCUGUAGUC